GAACCUGCGGAAGGAUCAUUAUCGUAUAACAGAGGUGUAAGGGCUGUCGCUGACCUUUAAAGGUUGUGCACGCCUAAGCCCUCUCACAAUCCAUCUCACCCCUUUUGUGCAUCACCGCGUGGGUCCUCCCUUUGCCGGGAGGGCCUGCGUUUUUAUAUAAAACUUGACACAAUGUAGAAUGUUUUCUUUUUUUGCAAUUAUAUGCAAUCAAUACAACUUUCAACAACGGAUCUCUUGGCUCUCGCAUCGAUGAAGAACGCAGCGAAAUGCGAUACGUAAUGUGAAUUGCAGAAUUCAGUGAAUCAUCGAAUCUUUGAACGCACCUUGCGCCCCUUGGCAUUCCGAGGGGCACACCCGUUUGAGUGUCGUGAAAUUCUCAAAACCCCCUUUUCUUUGAUCCUUUUUUGGGGUUUGAAAAAGGAGUUUUGGACUUGGAGGUUCAAUGCUUGCCUUUCACUUUUGUUGAAAGCGAGCUCCUCUCAAAUAAAUUAGUGGGGUCCGCUUUGCUGAUCCUUAACGUGAUAAGAUGUUUCUACGUUUUGGAUUUGGCACUGUCCUUUGGAUGCCUGCCUCUAACUGUCUCACGGACAAUGAUGGUGCUCCGGUCACUACCAUUUAUAUUGGUGGAAGGCUGGACCCACAAAAAUAAAACCU
rnacentral:rRNA from 1 species